rnacentral:rRNA from 1 species
CCUACGGGUGGCAGCAGUAAGGAAUAUUGGUCAAUGGACGAAAGUCUGAACCAGCCAUCCCGCGUGCAGGAUGAAAGCCCUAUGGGUUGUAAACUGCUUUUAGCAGAGAAGAAAAGCUUUCAUUAAUGAGAGUCUGACGGUAUCUGCAGAAUAAGCACCGGCUAACUCCGUGCCAGAAGCCGCGGUAAUACGGAGGGUGCGAGAAUUAUCGGGAUGAACUGGGUUUAAAGGGUGGUAUUAAGGCAGUGGUGAAAUCUUGUCGCUUAACGAUAAAAUUGACAAUGAUACUGGUACUAUUGAAUUGGGUUGAGGUUAGCGGAAUGUGACAUGUAGCGGUGAAAUGCAUAGAUAUGUCAUGGAACACCAAUUGCGAAGGCAGCUAACUGGGCCUUGAUUGACGCUGAGGCACGAAAGCGUGGGUAGCGAACAGGAUUAGAUACCCCGGUAGUC